AAGGUUGGUGAAAGAGUCUGAGGCACAAGUCAUUUUCUCUUCCCUCCUUCCAUUCUGGGGUGAUGAUGUGGCAUGGAAUAGAAGGAUCCAGUCCAUAAAUGAUUGGCUAUGUGACUGGUACUACAGGCAGGGCUUUGGGUUCUUUGAUAAUGGCUGGUUUUAUAAGACAGCAGGCCUGACAUUGAGUAAUAGGUGGGAAAG